GUUGGAUCAAUAGCCAAAGACAAGUAUCGAAAUCGACUACUCUCUUCAUUCCAAGCAAAGAACCACUUCGAAUUUAGAAGUGGGAGGCAAGUGUUAUGAGAAAAAUCCACUGUCCGACCUGACCUUCCUCUUAUCGGAUUAUGAGUGAGUACUCACCUCGGAUAUCUCACCGAUGACUCAAGAGAAAGAUAGAACUCUCUUAGACGUUGGGAAAAGAAGACUAGAAAAUUGAAGUGAAAUGACUAUGACAUUGGCUUCUUUUCAACCCCUAGGUCAGAAACAUACUGACUCCAGGGUCAAGCCCACACUGAUGAUAAGGAACAAAGCCUAUUGCUGACAAAACCAUUGUGGGAGAAGACAAUGCAACGGAAUCUCCUAAAGUCUCGAGCAAUUUCCUUAAAUCACAGGAACAUGAACUAAUGUCACACGAGUAACGACCAUAACCUACUAUCC
rnacentral:lncRNA from 1 species